AUCAUAAUGAUGUCAAAUACCAACUGAAUGCCAUUAGCAAUCUAUUAUUGAGCGCUUUUGGCUUUUAAAGGAUGUUCGCAGUUGCGAGGCAUUUGUCUGAAUGAUCU
rfam:Drosophila busckii chromosome 2R sequence.